rnacentral:rRNA from 1 species
UAGCGUAGGGUCCGAGCGUUGUCCGGGAAUUAUUGGGCGUAAAGGGGCUCGUAGGCGGUUCGUCACGUCGGGGAGUGAAAACUCGGGGCUUAACCCCGAGCCUUGCUUCCGAUACGGGCAGACUAGAGGUAGGCAGGGGAGAGCGGAACUCCUGGUGUAGCGGUAGGAAUGCGCAGAUAUCAGGAAGAACACCGGUGGCGAAGGCGGCUCUCUGGGCCUUACCUGACGCUGAGGAGCGAAAGCGUGGGUAGCGAACAGG